rnacentral:rRNA from 1 species
GACGGUCUUGCUGUCACUUAUAGAUGGAUCCGCGCUGCAUUAGCUAGUUGGUAAGGUAACGGCUUACCAAGGCAACGAUGCAUAGCCGACCUGAGAGGGUGAUCGGCCACACUGGAACUGAGACACGGUCCAGACUCCUACGGGAGGCAGCAGUAGGGAAUCUUCCGCAAUGGGCGAAAGCCUGACGGAGCAACGCCGCGUGAGUGAUGAAGGUCUUCGGAUCGUAAAACUCUGUUAUUAGGGAAGAACAUAUGUGUAAGUAACUGUGCACAUCUUGACGGUACCUAAUCAGAAAGCCACGGCUAACUACGUGCCAGCAGCCGCGGUAAUACGUAGGUGGCAAGCGUUAUCCGGAAUUAUUGGGCGUAAAGCGCGCGUAGGCGGUUUUUUAAGUCUGAUGUGAAAGCCCACGGCUCAACCGUGGAGGGUCAUUGGAAACUGGAAAACUUGAGUGCAGAAGAGGAAAGUGGAAUUCCAUGUGUAGCGGUGAAAUGCGCAGAGAUAUGGAGGAACACCAGUGGCGAAGGCGACUUUCUGGUCUGUAACUGACGCUGAUGUGCGAAAGCGUG